UUUGAAUAUGUCUAUUUAGCUAAUAUGCAGACCCUUCAAGUGUCCCUAUUUUCCAAGGACAGUUCCAAAUUUGCAGAAGCCAUCUCAGUUUCUAAUUUGAUCCUGGAAUGUCCUGCUUUUCCUUAGGAUGCCCCUCUUUUUAUUGGAGAAAUGUUGGAAGGGGUGGAGUUAAGCGACCCCCGAGCCAAGGAGGUAAGUAACUAUACAUCCUUUAGAAGACAUCUGAAGGCAGCCCUGUAUAGGGAAGUUUUUUUCAAAAAAUAUUUAAAGUUUUAUUAUGUUUUAUAUAUAUUGGAAGCCACCCAGAGUAGUUGGGGCAACCCAGUCAGAUGAGUGGGUAUUAUUAUUAUUAUUAUUAUUAUUAUUAUUAUUAUUUCACUUGGGAAGACAGGUGAACUAAUGUCAGUGUACUGGAAGUGGCAAAGAUCACUAAUGUCAAAGCAAUGAUGCUUAAACACCAACUUCAUAGGGCUGGUCAUGUGGUUCGGAUACCUUCCAAAGCAACUACUCUAUUCCCAACUUAGGAAUGGAAAGCAAAAUACCGGUGGACAACAAAAGAGGUUUAAAUGUGCUGUCAAGGCUAAUCUAAAGAAAUGCAGUAUAAGUAUGGAAAAUUGGGAAACACUGGCCUCUGAGCGCUUGGUAAAGGCUCCAGCCUUUACCAAAGGUGUCAUCGACUUUGAAGAAGCAGGAACUCAGGAUGAAAGGGAGAAACAAGAGGAAAGCAUGUUUGGCAAAUCCUCACCAUGAUCAACUCCCACCUGGAAACCUUUGUCCCCACUGUGGAAGGAUGUGUGGAGCCAGAAUUGGCCUCUACAGUCACUUACCAACACACUGCUAAGAUCAUAUUGGGAGACAAUCUUACUCAGUUGAAGAAGAAGAAGAAGAAGAAGAAGAAGAAGAAGAAGAAGAAGAAGAAGAAGAUAAUGAUUAAAUAGGAUGUCCCUAUUUUCAUCAGAGAAAUGUAGGAGUAUGUAAUAGUCAUCAAUGGCACAGUUCAGAACCAUGCAAGCCAGACUCCAAACAUACAAGCCUCCAGGCGGAAUGCCUGGAAAAUGUUGUGUGUGUGUGUGUGUGUGUAACAACAAUCUCCCCACAGAACAAUGAUUCUUGGCCAGAUGAGUGGAUGAGCCUGCUCCAGUUUAAAGAAUAUUUGCAGAUCUCCAGCUUACAAUGCUUUCUAUAGAACAUAAAGUGACAUAGUCCUUACGAAGUGCACUGACGGUCUAAUACUGGAUGAGAAAGUGAACAGCAAUCAAAGUGCAGGUAUGGGUUUUUGAUGUGCAUUUUCAGUGUUGCUUAGCCAAAACAAGACUGAUGCAUUUAAAUGUCAGCUUCUUAAAACACAAAACUGGCACUGGAGAAAGAAGAUUUCUGACAAAAUAUAUUGCAAAAUUUAUAAACUUAGUAGCAAAAUCAUAGUGUGAUAUUAUGGAAUGUGUUAAUAUAGGUCCAGUAUUUGGAAAUAGUACUGUGGGGAGGGAAGGGGCAACAAAAUAAAUUAAAGGACAAAGGAAGAGAAAUUGCAGUUCAGGGACUCUAGGUCUUUUCUGUUCCCUAAUUUACAGGGGGAAAGAAAACAAGAAGAAAAGUAUAAAGCAGAACAACCUAUGUGUAAUUCCUGAGAGUCGUUAAAGUACCGUUGAGGAAAAUGUGUAGCAUUACUCUAAGGUGCGUAAAAGGUACUACAGACACAUGAAAGCGAGGUGGGAGCUUUCUGCGGGAAAAUGAGCACACUCCUCACAGUUCUGAAUUACUGUACUUUAGCUAAUAUUGUAAUAGGAAGCUGACAGCUGAGAAAAAGCAGAUCUGGGGAUAAAUUAUCCCAUGCCAAAACAAAAUAUGUUCACACUGAAAUGUGUAUUUUGGAGAGAGAGAAAUCUUUCAACAGAUGCUUCAUUUUGGGCACUCUUUACAUUACAGACCAUAUAUAUUCCCCAGCAACUACUGCAUACAUUGUACAUCACAGCCAAAUCGCACUCAAUAAAACAUCACAUUUUAGCAACUCACCUCGUCAAAGGCUCUUUUUGUCAACAUUCUUCAUCAUGUUUUGUUUCCCCCCUCACAUUUCCACGUUCAUUCGUCCAUCUGCAAGGAAAUCAAGCGUAGCUCUAUCAUGCUGUGUAGCAGGGUUAGGAGAACUUAAUGGGUCUCAAGAGAGUCUCUGGGUUCAUGGAGUCUAGUUACUUUUGAGGAAGCUGAUAGCCCGUAGGGGCAGAAAUAAGUCUUAAAAUCUGACAAAAGGAACAGAUGAGGUGUUGAACGCAUGGCACAAUGGGUUCUUAUUUAUUUAUUUAGCUAGCAUUGCUGCUUUUUUGCAUCAAAAGAGGGAAACACAGACUGGCCUUUGCCCAGAUGACAUGCUCCCAUAAUCUCAGUCCAUUGAAUGACAAGCUACAUGAACAGGCUAAGUAGCUUCAAACUCAUGUAAGGAAACUAAUAGCUGAAAAAAAAUAAACCAGCAACAAACUAUCUAAUGAUAACUUUGGGGGGGGGGCAUGCUUAUAGAAAAAAAAUGGAAGAGUGGCCGACUGGGUAGGCCCAUUCCAUGUACAGUGGUACUUUGGGUUAAGAACUUAAUUCGUUCUGGAGGUCUGUUCUUAACCUGAAACUGUUCUUAACCUGAGGUACUAAUGGGGCCUCCCGCUACCGCUGCUGCGCAAUUUCUGUUCUCGACCUGAAGCAAAGUUCUUAACCUGAGGUACUAUUCCUGGGUUAGCUGAGUCUGUAACCUGAAGUGUCUGUAACCUGAAGUGUCUGUAACCCAAGGUACCACUGUAUUCAACACCUCCGAGAAACAAAGUUCAGGUGAGAACCAACUGUUCCUUCUCUGGAGGUGAUGAACACAUAUCAUGGCAAAUUACACUAAAGCUAUGGAACCUACUGGGUGGGAACAGCUGGCCACUGCUAAAGAACUUGUUGUGAUAUCUGUUACCCAAAUGCGGCCUCUGCUGAGGCAUACUUCUGUCAUGUUGGAUAAAUGCUGAUGGGUUUUCUCACACAGCUGCCGACACACACCUCUUGCAGAGGAGCAUUGGAAGCAAAUGUUGCCACAGACCUAGUAGAACAUGCUGUAACACGUUAAGGAACGAGCAAGUGAAAUUUUCCAGAAGCAAGCUGUGUGCAAUCCCAGAUCCAACUUGCCAAGGAU